UGGGGAAUCUUGCACAAUGGGGGCAACCCUGAUGCAGCGACGCCGCGUGAGCGAUGAAGCCCUUCGGGGUGUAAAGCUCUUUCGACCGGAACGAUAAUGACGGUACCGGGAGAAGAAGCUGCGGCUAACUACGUGCCAGCAGCCGCGGUAAUACGUAGGCAGCGAGCGUUGUUCGGAGUUACUGGGCGUAAAGCGUGCGUAGGCGGUGCCAUAAGUCUGUUGUGAAAUCUCCCGGCUCAACUGGGAGGGUGCGGUGGAAACUGUGGUGCUGGAGUGUGGGAGAGGUAGGCGGAAUUCCUGGUGUAGCGGUGAAAUGCGUAGAUAUCAGGAGGAACACCUGUGGUGUAGACGGCUUACUGGACCAUGACUGACGCUGAGGCACGAAAGCGUGGGGAGCAAACAGGAUUAGAUACCCUGGUAGUCCACGCCCUAAACGAUGCAUACUUGGUGUGGGCAGUUCAUUCUGUCUGUGCCGGAGC
rnacentral:rRNA from 1 species